ACAAUGAAGAGUUUGAUCCUGGCUCAGGAUGAACGCUAGCUACAGGCUUAACACAUGCAAGUCGAGGGGCAGCAUUGUCAUAGCAAUAUGACAGAUGGCGACCGGCGCACGGGUGAGUAACACGUAUCCAACCUGCCUUCCACUCGGGAAUAGCCUUUCGAAAGAAAGAUUAAUGCCCGAUGGCACUGAAAGAGGUCAUCCUUUUUCAGUUAAAGAAUUUCGGUGGAAGAUGGGGAUGCGUUCCAUUAGCUUGUUGGCGGGGUAACGGCCCACCAAGGCAUCGAUGGAUAGGGGUUCUGAGAGGAAGGUCCCCCACAUUGGAACUGAGACACGGUCCAAACUCCUACGGGAGGCAGCAGUGAGGAAUAUUGGUCAAUGGGCGAGAGCCUGAACCAGCCAAGUAGCGUGAAGGAUGACUGCCCUAUGGGUUGUAAACUUCUUUUAUAAGGGAAUAAAACGGGCCACGUGUGGCCUUUUGCAUGUACCUUAUGAAUAAGGAUCGGCUAACUCCGUGCCAGCAGCCGCGGUAAUACGGAGGAUCCGAGCGUUAUCCGGAUUUAUUGGGUUUAAAGGGAGCGCAGACGGGGUCUUAAGUCAGUUGUGAAAGUUUGCGGCUCAACCGUAAAAUUGCAGUUGAUACUGGGGCUCUUGAGUGCAGUAUAGGCAGGCGGAAUUCGUGGUGUAGCGGUGAAAUGCUUAGAUAUCACGAAGAACUCCGAUUGCGAAGGCAGCCUGCUGGACUGUAACUGACGUUCAUGCUCGAAAGUGCGGGUAUCAAACAGGAUUAGAUACCCUGGUAGUCCGCACAGUAAACGAUGAAUACUCGCUGUUGGCGAUACACAGUCAGCGGCCAAGCGAAAGCGUUAAGUAUUCCACCUGGGGAGUACGCCGGCAACGGUGAAACUCAAAGGAAUUGACGGGGGCCCGCACAAGCGGAGGAACAUGUGGUUUAAUUCGAUGAUACGCGAGGAACCUUACCCGGGCUUGAAUUGCAGAGGAAUAUGUAGGAAACUAUAUAGCCGCAAGGUCUCUGUGAAGGUGCUGCAUGGUUGUCGUCAGCUCGUGCCGUGAGGUGUCGGCUUAAGUGCCAUAACGAGCGCAACCCUUAUCUAUAGUUACCAUCAGGCAAUGCUGGGGACUCUAUGGAGACUGCCGUCGUAAGAUGUGAGGAAGGUUGGGAUGACGUCAAAUCAGCACGGCCCUUACGUCCGGGGCUACACACGUGUUACAAUGGGGGGUACAGAAGGCAGCUACACAGCGAUGUGAUGCCAAUCCCAAAAACCUCUCUCAGUUCGGACUGGAGUCUGCAACCCGACUCCACGAAGCUGGAUUCGCUAGUAAUCGCGCAUCAGCCACGGCGCGGUGAAUACGUUCCCGGGCCUUGUACACACCGCCCGUCAAGCCAUGAAAGCCGGGGGUACCUGAAGUGCGUAACCGCGAGGAGCGCCCUAGGGUAAAACUGGUGAUUGGGGCUAAGUCGUAACAAGGUAGCCGUACCGGAAGGUGCGGCUGGAACACCUCCUUU
rfam:Bacteroides helcogenes P 36-108, complete genome.